rnacentral:rRNA from 1 species
GACGAACGCUGGCGGCGUGCCUAAUACAUGCAAGUCGAGCGAAGUUUUUCUGGUGCUUGCACUAGAAAAACUUAGCGGCGAACGGGUGAGUAACACGUAAAGAACCUGCCUCAUAGACUGGGACAACUAUUGGAAACGAUAGCUAAUACCGGAUAACAGUAUUUCUCGCAUGAGAGAUAUUUAAAAGUUGGUUAUGCUAACACUAUGAGAUGGCUUUGCGGUGCAUUAGCUAGUUGGUGGGGUAAAGGCCCACCAAGGCGACGAUGCAUAGCCGACCUGAGAGGGUGAUCGGCCACACUGGGACUGAGACACGGCCCAGACUCCUACGGGAGGCAGCAGUAGGGAAUCUUCCGCAAUGGGCGAAAGCCUGACGGAGCAACGCCGCGUGAGUGAAGAAGGAUUUCGGUUCGUAAAGCUCUGUUGUUAGGGAAGAAUGGAUAUGUAGUAACUAUACAUGUAAGAGACGGUACCUAACCAGAAAGCCACGGCUAUCUACGUG